UGGGGAAUAUUGGACAAUGGGGGAAACCCUGAUCCAGCAAUGCCGCGUGAGUGAAGAAGGCCUUCGGGUUGUAAAGCUCUUUCAGCAGGGAAGAUGAUGACGGUACCUGCAGAAGAAGCCCCGGCUAACUCCGUGCCAGCAGCCGCGGUAAGACGGAGGGGGCUAGCGUUGUUCGGAAUUACUGGGCGUAAAGGGCGCGUAGGCGGCUCUUCAAGUUAGGCGUGAAAGCCCUGGGCUUAACCUAGGAAUAGCGUUUAAUACUGGAGAGCUAGAGAUUGGUAGAGGGAAAUGGAAUUCCUAGUGUAGAGGUGAAAUUCGUAGAUAUUAGGAAGAACACCAGAGGCGAAGGCGGUUUCCUGGGCCAACACUGACGCUGAGGCGCGAAAGCGUGGGGAGCAAACAG
rnacentral:rRNA from 1 species